ACCAAGGAGUCUAACAUGUGCGCGAGCCGCGGGGCAGUACGAAACCCGUAAGGCGAAAUGAAGGUGAACGCCGGCGCGGUCCGGCGGAGGUUGGAUCCCGUCCCGUCGGGGCGGGCGCACUACCGCCCGAUCUUCUCCGCCCUGUCGGCGAGGUCGAGCGAGAGCGUGCAAGUCGGGACCCGAAAGAUGGUGAACUAUGCCUGAGGAGGUUGAAGCCAGAGGAAACUCUGGUGGAGGACCGUAGCGAUUCUGACGUGCAAAUCGAUCGUCAAAUUUGGGUAUAGGGGCGAAAGACUAAUCGAACCGUCUAGUAGCUGGUUCCCUUCGAAGUUUCCCUCAGGAUAGCUGGCGCUCUGUCGCAGUUUUAUCUGGUAAAGCGAAUGAUUAGAGGUCUUGGGGGCGAAACGCCCUCAACCUAUUCUCAAACUUUAAAUUGGUAAGAAGCCCGACUCGCUCGUUUGGAGCCGGGCAUGGAAUGCGAGUGCCAAGUGGGCCACUCUUGGUAAGCAGGACUGGCGAUGCGGGAUGAACCGAACGCCGGGUUAAGGCGCCCGACGCGACGCUCAUCAGAGCCCACAAAAGGUGUUGGUUGAUAUA
rnacentral:ncRNA from 1 species